rnacentral:piRNA from 1 species
CCCGGGCAGGGAGCUCUGGAUAGAACAGA